AGCCUCCUCCGUGUUGAUUGGAUGGGUGAUCGGCACGCUCACAUAAACCGUCAAUCAGCUGGUCGUCUUGGAAACAGGCGCGUAAAGUACUGUGAGUCGGCGCAAGUCUCUGAGCGCGGCAGAUCUGUGAGGGGAUUUAUAAACGCUCUUGGAAUCUCAUCGCUCCAGACAACCGUGAAAAUAGUUUACGUCUUGCUCUGUGCUUUACAGCAUCUCCACAUCUUUAAACUGACAGUAUGUAAGCAGAGAAAACACCCGCUUGUAUAAUUGAUCCAGUAUUGCCAGUGUGGACUGUUAUUGACUUUGGUACUGUUUGAUUAACCAUGUCCACACAAGAGACAGAAUUAUCCGACAGUCAGGAGAGGGUGGGUUUGAAGAGAAAACUGACGGGUCCACCGAGACUUUUGCUGGGGAAGUCAAAAUCAAGGGAGAAACUGGAAGCCCAGAAAAACCCUCAGAGGAGAAGGAAUCCCAGCCAGAUGCUCCAGGAGAUACCUCAGGAAUUCUUGUAACAUUGGAGCAUAGUGAAAGCAAAGAUGAAAAUAAAGAAAGUAAAACAAAAAUGACCAGAAGCACUUCAAAAACAUCCAUUAAAAGGACAUUCUCCUCACUCCUCAGGUGUGGAAAGAGGGAGGAAUCAGAGAAAACAGAAAAAAAGAUUUUGAAUCCUCAAAAAACAAAGAAAAACAGAAACAAAGCUCAGCACAGUACGUUUAACUCCAUGGAUGAGAAUAAACUGAGUGAUGUAAACAAGGACGUUCCUAAUGGUAAAAGUAAAACUAGGGCUUUCUUUACAGUGUGGCCCCUUUCUAAGAGAUCCACCACAUCCAAUGUCAGUCUAGGAAGGGGCUGUAGAGAGCAAGACAAUUGCAUGGUUUUUCAGGAGAUAAUGGCACCAAAAGGUUUGACAUUUAAAAAGAUCCCCCGCAUCUUUCCAAGAAAGAAGAAAGCAUCUGAAAUUGAUCAGUUUGAGUAUAAUGCUCCUAAGGAAUCACAAAAAGAAGAAGCUGAUCAACUGAAUCAAUCACCUGAGGCUGCUUUGGACAUUUCCUGUAAAGAAAAAGAAGAGAAACAAAAGGAAGAACAAGACAUAAUAGCGGAAAGCCUUCCAGAGACAUUUACAUUCAGUGCAGAGGUUCCUCCAUCAUGUUGCAGUGAGUUUCCAGGCACAUCAUCAGGUGGUGAUCUGCUAGUCUUAAUUGAGAAGCCUAUUAAAAAUAAUGUCAAAUGCAAGCCAGUGAUUACUAUAGAGCAAGCAUAUUCAUCAGAGGAAGAGAACAUGAAUGAGACACCUCAGUUUGAUGGUCUCACAGUGAACGGAUCCUGGCAACAUUUAAGAAUAAACAGCCUAACAAUCAACACACUGCAUCCUUCUGACCUAAAUGUGUCUCCUGAACUGGACCACAGCCAUUGUAAUGAGACCUUACUGAUUCAGACGGCAAUUUCAAUGGUGCAAGCAGCCAUUCAUGGCGCUGUGGAGCAACUCACAAUCGAGCAGCAGCACAAUCAGAUAAGUUUGGAUCAUGCAUAA
ensembl:lncRNA